UUCCUGGAGGGCUAGUGGUUAGGCCUCAGCACUCUCACCACUGUUGCCCGGGUUAGAUUCCCAGCCAGGUGA
rnacentral:tRNA from 1 species